rnacentral:lncRNA from 1 species
UGUUCGCCACUGCAAUAAUGAACAGGUGAAAAAAUUGAGGCUUUGACCAAUUUAGAUAAUUUCUAAGAUAUAUAUUUGCAAGUAAAAAAUUGAUAAAACAAAAUUCAGAGAUGGGUAAGAUUUUCGUAAUGAAAAGUAAAACAAAAUUCAAAAUCCAAAUAAAAAAACAACUUUUGGUUGAUGUAUAAAAUGGCUAAUCUAUUGCUGAUGGUACUUCAUAGAUUAUAAGGCAGUAGCAGUUUUAAAGACUGGCCAUGCGAAUUUUGCCAUCAAUCUCUCCAUACACCUCAGGUCCUUAAAAUUCUUGAGGAUAAAAAAAAUAUAUAGAAAAUGCUUCCAUCAAUGAAAACUGUGCAGUAUAGAGAGAAUGUACUGUUGGAAAUGCCUUUAAAAAAAAAAAAACUGUUGGAAAUCAUUCCAAUGCAAUCAGCCACCCUUAGUUUCCCUUUCCCAUAAUUUAAUCAAAUGAGACUCUCAACAGUUUUUUAUGUUUGUGGUUCUCUCCAAAAUAGAGAACAGAUAAUAAUCACUUUUUGAUCAGUUUUUUGGAUUCCACUAAAUAUUAAAUUACUAUUAAGUAGUCACAAUUUAAACAAAAUUGCUGGUGUGAUUUAGUUACAUGUAGCUAAAUGUCUCCAAACUCUGAAAGUAUACAGAAGAACAAUCCUUGUAGUUUGAGAAACAUAAUAAAGAAAUGUUUAAAAACUGUUAUUGCUAUGAUAGAAUAAGUAACAAAAUGUUCUCCUUCAUGCUGUAAACAAUACAAAUCAGAUCUUAAGAUGCUAUCACCUGGGGCAUUCAGUUUUACUUAUUGUAAGGUGUGGAUUUUGUGUAAAAGAAGUGCAUAUAUAACAAUACAGUCUGCAUUAGUAUUUACUUAUUUUUCGUAGUUAUUUUGGUUUUUUACCGGCGUCUUUAACUAUAACCUCAGCUCUAUUUAUUGGUCUGAGCAAGCACAAAUUUGACUGCAACAGUAAACAGUUCUGAAUCAAAUAGGGUACUUACCGUUGAAGAAGAAGGACGACUAAGAAGAACUUGAUGCUGUUGAGCUUGAAUUCAAACAGAUUAAAAAGGACUGGACGAUUAGAAAUUCAAAAUCCAAUCAGAAAAAUUGAAAAAAAAAUUCAGCAGAAUUUAGAACCAAUCGUAUUUGCUUCAAAUACAGGGAAGAUAUUAAGACUACAAAAAAAAUCCUAGAUGGUAAAUACACUGCCAAGGAUGCAAUAUCUAAUAGAUUCAGGAGUGAUGAUUGUAUAUAAAAAUUAAAGGAAUACAAUUCUGCAAAAAUACAAUAGAUUCAACAAAAUCCAAACCACAGACCUCUGAGAGAUAGCCAUCACUGUCAGAGCUCUCUCCCAUUGAUUCACUGUCAUCUUCGCUAAAUAUUGUAUCAAGAGAAGUGUCUCCAAUAGCUAUAUCUUCAGAGUUUCUAGACAUGCCAAAACAAAAAAGUUAAGUAACCACUUCAUUGAAGAUUGAAUCUUAUUAUCAUUGUACUUCCACCAAGUACUAAAACUAAUUCACCAAAAAAUAAAGUCAAAUUUAGCAUUUCCAAAAAGAGUUGAGGCUUGGAAAGCGAAGUCAAUGGAGUUAUAUACCAGAAGCUUAUAGAAGGUAACCUCUUUUUGAAUAUAGCCUGGUGGAACUUGCUGUCCAGGCAUCUAUAAAUGGAUAAGAAGGCUGGAGUAUAUAGACUCCAUCCUUAUAUUAAAUGCUUUUAAUACGUAUUCUAGAGUUUAAUUCAAGUAACAAUGUAGCAAACGGAAGUCGUACGCCAAAAAAAAAACACUUUUCAUGAGAAUUUCUUCAGGUUAGAUUAAGCAGUGAUUUAAGGUAUUAUUGUAAGUAGAUUAAGCUAUAAAAAUUAUUGAAUUGAAUCAAGUUUGUAGGCGUACUUGGUAUCAAGAGAGAUUACCGAACAGGAGCAAUCAACAGACCUAAUCAAUUGAAGAAUGAUCCCAACUGAAAGAAUAAUCAGUAGAGCUAGAAGAGUACCUUUGUGCGAGAAUCGAGAUUCCUGGUGAUGAUGAUGAUGAUGAGAGGAGAGAGAUAGAGAUGGAAAACUUAAGAAGGAAAAGUUUGCUAUUGCUGC